rnacentral:rRNA from 1 species
GAUGAACGCUGGCGGCGUGCCUAAUACAUGCAAGUCGAGCGAACAGACGAGGAGCUUGCUCCUCUGACGUUAGCGGCGGACGGGUGAGUAACACGUGGAUAACCUACCUAUAAGACUGGGAUAAUUUCGGGAAACCGGAGCUAAUACCGGACAAUAUAUUGAACCGCAUGGUUCAAUAGUGAAAGACGGUUUUGCUGUCACUUAUAGAUGGAUCCGCGCGGCAUUAGCUAGUUGGUAAGGUAACGGCUUACGAAGGCAACGAUGCGUAGCGGACCUGAGAGCGUGAUCCGCCACACUGGAACUAAGACACGUUCCAGACUCCUACGGAGUGCAGCAGUGUGGAAUCUUCCGCGAAAGGCGUAAGCCUGACGGAGCAACGCCGCGUGAGUGAUGAACUCCCUCGGUUCGUAAAACUCUUAUACUAGAGAAAAACAAUUGUGUACGUAACUCUCCACUUCGUGACGGUACCCCAUCAGAAAGCCACGGCUAACUACGUG